GACGGAGGGUACUAGCGCUAUUCACCAUGAUUGGGCGUAAAGGGCAUCUAGCCAGCCAAAUGUGUAUGUUUUGAGUAAAAGAACAAAGUUUAAAUUUUAAUAAUUCAUUUUACUGCGUUAUAGCUAGAGUAUGAAUAAAUUUCUCAGAACUUUUGAUUUAGCGCUGGGAUGCGGGGAUAUUGCGGGGACUAACAGCUUAGUGAAAGCAGUGACUUGAUUCAUUCUGACGUUGAAGUGCUAAAGCUAGGGUAUCGACCGGG
rnacentral:rRNA from 1 species